CAGAAGAUAGUUUAAUUUAAAAUGCCAGUUUUGGGGGCUGGAAAUGGAGGUUAACCUCCUCUUUUGA
rnacentral:tRNA from 1 species